rnacentral:lncRNA from 1 species
AACGUAAGCGAGCGGACAUUCGUGGAAGGCAUUGCAUACUGACCUACCUGUUGGUCAACUUAGAUUCGUCACAGAUAAGAGUGCCAGGCUGCUUGUAGGCCAAGAACACAUAACGAUGCAAACCUGCAAUCAUCAUCAUGAGGAGCAGAUCCAACAUACUGGGACAGAAUCUUUAAACAAUAAAAAAAAAAAAAAACGUCAACCUUUUGGUCUCCCGACAGUAUAUUAUGCAGAAAAAAUGUAUGAUGAUUACAUCUCCUCUUUUGAAGUCAUCGCCAGGGAUGUUUACUACAAGCCAAUGUUGCCACUCUCGGGCUGUUGGUUUUGUCCUCUUUGGGGCAUCAGGAUCUGUAAAAAAUGUAUAUUUCCGUUAAGCACAUUAUGGCCAUUUUACACGGACAGGUUGAUUCUGGACUUCAGUAGGUGUCAAUUCGUUUCCCUCUUUUACGAUGGCACCACUAUCGUACUCGACCUAAAGUUCCGGCUGGUGCAACGUCAACGACAUCAGGGACAAUUGCGUGACCUUUCAUUGCUCCUUCGUUGAAUUCCGCCGGACGAUGAGAAUAAGAAGAAUGGAACUAAAAAUACGGAUAGAUAAGAACGGAAAAUCUAUGGGGUAAGUAACUAUCCUGUUGGUAAAAAUUUUGUUUUUAAAGGUAGAUCUCAUUAUUCUUUGUUUCGAGGCAGCAACAGGCAAAGCUUUCAUGAAUGUUUUGUUCGAGUUGGUUCGGAUAACUAGGCGAACACUGAAAUACCACAUUAAGAAAUUAAUUGGCAAUUAAGUUACCGUAUAUUUAUGAAGGUUAGCGCCGGUGAUCUCUUACUUUUGCGGUUGGGGAAUGACUAUGGAUAUUCCAGCGACAAGGAGCUAUACGAAGGAGAACGACUUACCUACGAACUGCAACGAUUGAAAUCGUAAGAAGCGGAACGAUAUAAUUUCAACGAAUUUUGAUCAUCUCUGCCUACUGGUACCAAACUGUUUUCUCCAUUUACAAGGGCGUUGGAGUAGUGGAUACUGACCUUAACAGUCUGAAAUUUUCCUCGUAUGUUAUGAAAUAAGUUUGAAAAUUGUUAUAGGGGCGAUUUACAACCGAAGGAUUAGGGUCAUUAUCCACAUUUUCCCUGCUUUUAGGUAUAAAUCCGUCUAAUAAUCUAUAGAGAAAAACGGCCAAGAAGUUAUCUUUUAAGCAUGUAGGUUAUAUUUGUUAGAGCCGUAAAAAAGUAAUAACUUCGGCUAACGGUUUCCUACUAAAUUAUGAAAACGUUAGGUUUUUCGGCAUUUUCUUUCAAUGCUGAAAGGUAUUUUAAUCGUCUCCAAGCUGCUCGUAGAGCUUAGGAACGUAAUCAUCCCAUUUGGCUUGGUACAGGUUUCCUGCAAUCGGCUGUCCCAAGUUGUACUUUUCGGCAAACUUGCGGAUGGAAAACAUUCCACGAUUCUUGCCCGACCUAAAUACAACGGGGGAAAAAGUUAGGAUAAUCCAUGCUUUGCAUAUAAAACAAAACUACCUGUUGGUCAAGCGAGGCUCGUCACAGGUAAGAGGACCAGGCUGCUUGUACGCCAAGAACACGUAACGAUGCAAACCUAUAAUAAUUUGUAGGUUUUAACUGGGAUGAUACCAAUUUUAGAUUAGUUAAUAAUACCAGUGCCUUGUGGAGGACCAGAACCAACAUAUUGGGACAAAACCUGAGUUGGGAGCAGAAACAACAUUAUUAUUUGUAUACCAACAGAAAUUUAAAACAGUGGAUACUUCUCCUUUCUUGAUUUCAUUGCCAGGGAUGUUGACAACAAGCCAAUGAUGCCACUCUCUGAAUGUUGGUGUUUCCCUUGAAGGGGCAUCAGGGUCUAAAUAAAUGUAUUUCAAUAACUAAUAGAUCAUUUGUCAAAAACACAUUUACCUGUCAUGCAGAGGGUAUAGUGAGCCCCUUCUUCAACAGGCCAUUCAAUGUUGACAGGCUCAUUCUGCACUUGGGUAGGUGUCAACUCAUUUCCCCCUUCAACAGUUGCACUACUAUCAUAUUUGAUCUAAAAAUGCUCAAAAUUGUAAUGUCGCUUCAGUAAUAAGUAAUAAAAUGUUACAUACUGUUAUAGUUGCA